rnacentral:rRNA from 1 species
AGUGAACGCUGGCGGUAGGCCUAACACAUGCAAGUCGAACGGCAGCACAGGAGAGCUUGCUCUCUGGGUGGCGAGUGGCGGACGGGUGAGGAAUACAUCGGAAUCUACUCUGUCGUGGGGGAUAACGUAGGGAAACUUACGCUAAUACCGCAUAUGACCUACGGGUGAAAGCAGGGGACCUUCGGGCCUUGCGCGAUUGAAUGAGCCGAUGUCGGAUUAGCUAGUUGGCGGGGUAAAGGCCCACCAAGGCGACGAUCCGUAGCUGGUCUGAGAGGAUGAUCAGCCACACUGGAACUGAGACACGGGCCAGAGUCCUACGGGGGGCAGCAGUGGGGAAUAUUGGACAAUGGGCGCAAGCCUGAUCCAGCCAUACCGCGUGGGUGAAGAAGGCCUUCGGGUUGUAAAGCCCUUUUGUUGGGAAAGAAAUCCAGCUGGCUAAUACCCGGUUGGGAUGACGGUACCCAAAGAAUAAGCACCGGCUAACUUCGUGCCAGCCGCCGCUGUAA